rnacentral:rRNA from 1 species
UACAGAGGUCUCAAGCGUUGUUCGGAUUUAUUGGGCGUAAAGAGCUCGUAGGCGGCUCAGUAAGUCGGGUGUGAAAACUCCAGGCUCAACCUGGAGACGCCACCUGAUACUGCUGUGGCUAGAGUCCGGUAGGGGAGCAUGGAAUUCCUGGUGUAGCGGUGAAAUGCGCAGAUAUCAGGAGGAACACCAGUGGCGAAGGCGGUGCUCUGGGCCGGAACUGACGCUGAGGAGCGAAAGCGUGGGGAGCAAACAGG